CGGGGCGUAGCGCAGGUUGGUAGCGGACCUGCUUUGGGAGCAGGGGGUCGAAGGUUCAAGUCCUUUCGCCCCGACCA
rnacentral:tRNA from 1 species